UACGUAGGGUGCGAGCGUUGUCCGGAAUUAUUGGGCGUAAAGAGCUUGUAGGCGGUCUGUCGCGUCUGCUGUGAAAAUCCGGGGCUCAACCCCGGACUUGCAGUGGGUACGGGCAGACUAGAGUGUGGUAGGGGAGACUGGAAUUCCUGGUGUAGCGGUGAAAUGCGCAGAUAUCAGGAGGAACACCGAUGGCGAAGGCAGGUCUCUGGGCCACUACUGACGCUGAAGCACGAAAGCGUGGGGAGCAAACAGG
rnacentral:rRNA from 1 species